GGGUGCCUACGGGAGGCAGCAGUGAGGAAUAUUGGUCAAUGGCCGGAAGGCUGAACCAGCCAAGUCGCGUGAGGGACGACUGCCCUAUGGGUUGUAAACCUCUUUUAUAAGGGAAGAAUAAAUGCUACGUGUAGCAUGAUGCCUGUACAUUAUGAAUAAGCAUCGGCUAACUCCGUGCCAGCAGCCGCGGUAAUACGGAGGAUGCGAGCGUUAUCCGGAUGUAUUGGGUUUAAAGGGUGCGUAGGCGGUUUUUUAAGUUAGUGGUUAAACGUCGGGGGUUCACCUUGAUGU
rnacentral:rRNA from 1 species